GGGCUGCUGGUCUAGUGGUAUGAUUCUCGCUUAGGGCAACUUAGACCCGAGUUUAAAGGCUUCAUGAAGAUUCCUUCUAAAUGCUUGCGUGAGGUCCAGGGUUCGAUUCCCUGGCGGCCCC